rnacentral:rRNA from 1 species
UACAGGGGGUGCAAACGUUGUUCGGAAUUACUGGGCGUAAAGGGCGCGUAGGCGGCUUAUCAAGUCAGGCGUGAAAUUCCCGGGCUCAACCUGGGGGCUGCGCUUGAUACUGAUUGGCUUGAAUGCGGGAGAGGAUAGUGGAAUUCCCAGUGUAGAGGUGAAAUUCGUAGAUAUUGGGAAGAACACCGGUGGCGAAGGCGGCUAUCUGGCCCGUAAUUGACGCUGAGGCGCGAAAGCGUGGGGAGCAAACAGG